rnacentral:rRNA from 1 species
UACGGAGGAUGCGAGCGUUAUCCGGAUUUAUUGGGUUUAAAGGGUGCGUAGGCGGACGCUUAAGUCAGCGGUAAAAUUGCGGGGCUCAACCUCGUCGAGCCGUUGAAACUGGGUGCCUUGAGUGGGCGAGAAGUACGCGGAAUGCGUGGUGUAGCGGUGAAAUGCAUAGAUAUCACGCAGAACUCCGAUUGCGAAGGCAGCGUACCGGCGUCCAACUGACGCUGAAGCACGAAGGCGUGGGUAUCGAACAGG